rnacentral:rRNA from 1 species
UACAGAGGUCUCAAGCGUUGUUCGGAUUCAUUGGGCGUAAAGGGUGCGUAGGUGGCGGGGUAAGUCAGGUGUGAAAUCUCGAGGUUCAACCUCGAAACUGCACUUGAUACUGCCUUGCUGGAGUACUGGAGAGGAGAUUGGAAUUUACGGUGUAGCAGUGAAAUGCGUAGAUAUCGUAAGGAAGACCAGUGGCGAAGGCGAAUCUCUGGACAGUUACUGACACUGAGGCACGAAGGCCAGGGGAGCAAACGGG